ensembl:lncRNA
AAUCAAGGCGCCAUUUUUAAAGUAUUCUCAUAGCCCCUGACGCGGGUAGGACGCGUAGUGCUGAGCUUGGCCCCAUUUCACAGAGGAGGGGACUCUCUGGGUGUCUCCGCGGCAGCAGGAGGGCGCGGCCGAAGCCCCAAGCCCGGUCCUCCGCCGCCACCAACACCUUCCAGCCGGCCGGGUAUCCCCCUGCCGGCUGGGACUUUCGACUUUAUCAGCUCGACAGCAGCAAGCCCUGGGCUUCAGUCACCCCAGGUCCUCAGAACUCCUCGAGACCACCUACGUUUUCCAUUGUCAAGGUCAUCUACCAGCAGGAGCUCUAGACCAUGGAUCAGGGAACCAGGGCUUCCCGUUCCUGUCCUCUGAGCAGCUGUGGGGCAUUCAGCAAGUCACACUGUCCCUUUGGGCCACACAGGGGUUUAAGGAUAUUUCCUCCAAAGCCCCUUUCAGCAGCAAUUCGCGGGGAUCAAACUAGAGCAUUCAGACCAACAAGGACCUACUGUAUAGCACAGGGAACUCUGUUAACGUUACGUGGCAGCCUGGAUGCGAGGGGAAGAAUGGAUAACAUGUAUAUCUAUGGCUGAGUCCCUUCGCUGUUCACCUGAAACUGUCACAGCAUUGUUUAUCGGUUAUACCC